GACGAACGCUGGCGGCGUGCUUAACACAUGCAAGUCGAACGAGAACGGAUUAUAGCUUGCUAUAAUUGUCAGCUAAGUGGCGCACGGGUGAGUAAUGUAUAGGUAAUAUGCCUCUUACUAAGGGAUAACAAAUGGAAACGUUUGCUAAUACCUUAUACUCCUUAUUAACAGAAGUUAAUAAGGGAAAGAUUUAUUGGUAAGAGAUUAGCCUGUAUUGUAUCAGUUAGUUGGUGGGGUAAUGGCCUACCAAGACUAUGACACAUAACUGGUUUGAGAGGAUGAUCAGUCACACUGGAACUGAGACACGGUCCAGACUCCUACGGGAGGCAGCAGUGGGGAAUAUUGCACAAUGGACGGAAGUCUGAUGCAGCAACGCCGCGUGGAGGAUGACACAUUUCGGUGCGUAAACUCCUUUUAUAUGAGAAGAUAAUGACGGUAUUAUAUGAAUAAGCACCGGCUAACUCCGUGCCAGCCGCCGCCGUAACAC
rnacentral:rRNA from 1 species